UGGGGAAUCAUGGUCAAUGGGCGAAAGCCUGAACCUGCGACGCCGCGUGAGUGAUGAAGGUCGUAAGAUCGUAAAACUCUUUUCAGGGAUCUUAAAGCCUGUCUGUCAACAACAGGCAGGUCUGACUCUCCCUGGAAGAAGCCCCAGCCAACUACGUGCCAGCAGCUGCGGUAAUACGUAGGGGGCGAGCGUUAUUCGGAAUUACUGGGUGUAAAGGGUAUGUAGGCGGCCCUUCAAGGCGGGUGGCAAAGGCCAGUGCUCAA
rnacentral:rRNA from 1 species